CCACAACUUGGAACUGAGAGAACCGGUCACGAAAUCCCUAACGGGAAGGCAAGCCAGUGGGGGAAUAUUGCACAAUUGGGGCGCCAAAGGCUGAUGCAGCAUGCCGCGUGUAUUGAAGAAGGCUUCGGAUGUAAAGCACCUUUCAGUCGUGAGGAAGCGCGUCGUAAUAGCGGCGUUGUUGACGUUAGCGACAGAAGAAGCACGGGCUAACUCCGUGCCAGCAGCCGCGGUAAUACGGGAGGGUGCGAGCGUUAAUCGGAAAUUACUGGGCGUAAAGCGCAUGCAGGUGGUUUGUUAAGUCAGAUGUGAAAGCCCGGGGCUCAACCUCGGAAUAGCAUUUGAAACUGGCAGACUAGAGUACUGUAGAGGGGGGUAGAAUUUCAGGUGUAGCGGUGAAAUGCGUAGAGAUCUGAAGGAAUACCGGUGGCGAAGGCGGCCCCCUGGACAGAUACUGACACUCAGAUGCGAAAGCGUGGGGAGCAAACAGGAUUAGAUACCCUGGUAGUCCACGCCGUAAACGAUGUCUACUUGGAGGUUGUGGCCUUGAGCCGUGGCUUUCGGAGCUAACGCGUUAAGUAGACCGCCUGGGGAGUACGGUCGCAAGAUUAAAACUCAAAUGAAUUGACGGGGGCCCGCACAAGCGGUGGAGCAUGUGGUUUAAUUCGAUGCAACGCGAAGAACCUUACCUACUCUUGACAUCCAGAGAACUUUCCAGAGAUGGAUUGGUGCCUUCGGGAACUCUGAGACAGGUGCUGCAUGGCUGUCGUCAGCUCGUGUUGUGAAAUGUUGGGUUAAGUCCCGCAACGAGCGCAACCCUUAUCCUUGUUUGCCAGCGAGUAAUGUCGGGAACUCCAGGGAGACUGCCGGUGAUAAACCGGAGGAAGGUGGGGACGACGUCAAGUCAUCAUGGCCCUUACGAGUAGGGCUACACACGUGCUACAAUGGCGCAUACAGAGGGCGGCCAACUUGCGAAAGUGAGCGAAUCCCAAAAAGUGCGUCGUAGUCCGGAUUGGAGUCUGCAACUCGACUCCAUGAAGUCGGAAUCGCUAGUAAUCGUGGAUCAGAAUGCCACGGUGAAUACGUUCCCGGGCCUUGUACACACCGCCCGCCACGUACACCGGACUAGAGUUUGAUACCUGGCUCAGGAUAAGUCGUAACAAGGUAACCAUGCUAGAGUUGAG
rnacentral:rRNA from 1 species